ACUCUUUUAGUAUAUAAAGUAUUUUAAGCUUCCAACUUAAAGGAUAAUUUUAAUUAAAUGAGUA
rnacentral:tRNA from 1 species